UACAGAGGGGGCAAGCGUUGUUCGGAAUUACUGGGCGUAAAGGGCGCGUAGGCGGCCUUCUAAGUCGAACGUGAAAUCCCCGGGCUCAACCCGGGAACUGCGUCCGAUACUGGAAGGCUUGAAUCCGGGAGAGGGAUGCGGAAUUCCAGGUGUAGCGGUGAAAUGCGUAGAUAUCUGGAGGAACACCGGUGGCGAAGGCGGCAACCUGGACCGGUAUUGACGCUGAGGCGCGAAAGCCAGGGGAGCAAACGGG
rnacentral:rRNA from 1 species